rnacentral:rRNA from 1 species
ACGAGUGGCGGACGGGUGAGUAAUGUCUGGGGAUCUGCCUGAUGGAGGGGGAUAACUACUGGAAACGGUAGCUAAUACCGCAUAAUGUCGCAAGACCAAAGUGGGGGGACUUUCGGGCCUCACACCAUCAGAUGAACCCAGAUGGGAUUAGCUAGUAGGUGGGGGUAAUGGCUCACCUAGGCGACGAUCCCUAACUGGUCUGAGAGGAUGACCAGUCACACUGGAACUGAGACACGGUCCAG